UACGUAGGUGACAAGCGUUAUCCGGAAUUACUGGGCGUAAAGCGCACGCAGGCGGCGCGGCAAGUCUGAUGUGAAAUCUCCCGGCUUAACUGGGAGGGGUCAUUGGAAACUGCCGAGCUUGAGGCGAUGAGAGGGGUGUAGAAUUCCCGGUGUAGUGGUGAAAUGCGUAGAUAUGCGGAGGAACACCGAUGGCGAAGGCAAUCCCCUGGGCCUGCACUGACGCUCAUGCACGAAAGCGUGGGGAGCAAACAGG
rnacentral:rRNA from 1 species